rnacentral:rRNA from 1 species
CAGUCGCCACGGUAAAACCAGCAGCCCAAGUGGUGGUCGCGAUUAUUGGGCCUAAAGCGCUCGUAGCCGGGCCGGUAAGUCCCUUGUGAAAUCGGACGGCCUAACCGUUCGGCGUGCAAGGGAUACUGUCGGUCUUGAGGCCGGGAGACGUCCGAGGUACUCCGGGGGUAGCGGUGAAAUGUUCUGAUCCUCGGGGGACCACCGGUGGCGAAGGCGUUCGACGAGAACGGGCCUGACGGUGAGGGGCGAAGGCUAGGGGAGCAAACGGGAUUAGAUACCCCCGUAGUCCCUGUCUCUUAUA